AGUGGGUUUCAGUAGGCCUUUAAGGUCCAAGCUUACAUCACACUCAAAUUUUUACUGCACACCUUUGGUAAGUGCCGGAGUGAGAAGAGGUUUUAAACUCAUCAUUGAUAUAUAAACUAUCAGACUGCGUGGUCAGUAGUAGUGGGUUUCAGUAGGCCUUUAAGGUCCAAGCUUACAUCACACUCAAAUUUGUACUGUAUACCUUUGGUAAGUGCCGGAGUGAGAAGAGGUUUUAAAAAUAAUUAGCGCAUGCUUACUUUUACCGCAUGCCUUUGGUAAGCGCAGGAGUGAGAAGAGGUUUUAAAUUAAUUAGCGCCCAGGCGGCAAUUGAAGAAAAUAUGGUUAAAAAAAAUAAAAAAAUUCAACGUAUUCUUUAGGGUAAGCGCAGGAGUGAGAAGAGGUUUUAAAUCAAUUAGCGCCCGGGCGGCAAUUGAAGAAAAUAUGGUUAAAAAAAAUAAAAAAAAUUCAACGUGUUCUUUAGACUUUUCAAAACAAACGCUCAAAACAUUUAAUGCCAUCCAACACAUAUAGUUGUGUUGAAGAUAUAACAUAAAAAUAUCGACAUUCGUGUCGAAGUGUCCACCCCCAGUAGGCGGAACUGCCCACACGGAUGCGGGCGAGGAGGAGGAUGUUGAGAGGGAAGGUAGGAGCGGGUUGAGCAGGGAGGUGGACAAGCUAUUUGCAUCCUCUUUUUUUUUUUAUCCAUGGCGCGAAGGCUGGCUCUUACGUCCUUGGUGUAUUUUAACGUUACACGGCGCUUCGAGAGGAAGAGACCUACUACUCCCCGCUCGCUGUGACCGAGAAGGGCAUCUCCUAGGCGGGCCGUCAUUACCAACAGCUGGCGUCUCCACGGCGCGGUGAAGCUAGCAGGCUAAUGACAGCAGGUCUUCUGGAAACCUGAAAAAAGAUGAUAGAAAAACAGCACUUUCACAACCUGACUGAAAUCCACCGCUGAAUCACUCGUGGCCAUUCACCACGGAUGUCGUGAAAUACACGACGUGUUCGAUUCAACAUGGAGAAAAAGAAAAUGUGCCCACGACUCCUGGACUACUUGGUGGUGGUCGGUGCAAGGCAGCCAAGUAGUGAUAGUGUGGCCCAGACGCCUCAGCUCCUCCGCCGAUACCCACUGGAGGACCACCGGGACUUUCCACUCCCACCAGAUGUGGUGUUCUUUUGCCAACCAGAAGGAUGUCUGAGUAUACGCCAGCGAAGGGUCAGCCUUCGCGACGACUCCUCGUUUGUUUUCACACUGACUGACAAAGACUCAGGAAUUACUCGCUACGGAAUCUGCGUCAACUUCUACCGAUCAUUUCAGCGCGGGCAUCACCGUGCCCGUGCGGACAAGAGCGGUCACACAGAGACAGCAACGCGAGGGGGGGACUCUACGAGCGAGGGGUCCGAUGGUAGCAGCGGCGGCCAGUCGUCUGCGUUGUCAGCGCCCAAGAAAGAUGAGUUAGCUCCUAAGCCAGCUUCUGGAGAAGACGUUGAACAGCAAAGUACUGAACUAAAUACUGAAAAAGCUGGCCAGCUCAAACGAAAUGCAGAUAAAAUGGCUGCCAGGAAUCGCAACAGUACACUGACGUCACUAUGCAUACUCAGCCACUACCCAUUCUUCUCCACCUUCAGGGAAUGUCUAAGUAUUCUCAAGAGAAUGGUGGAUUGCUGUAGUCAGAGGUUAACCCAGCGUGCUGGACUGCCCCACACUUUCCAAAGGGACACCAUGUGGCGCGUAUUCACUGGGGCGCUUUCAGUGGAAGAGAAGGGUAGCCAGUUGUUGGCUGACCUGCGGGACAUUGAGUCCUGGAUAUACAGGUUGCAACGGUCCCCAGUGCCUGUGGCGGGUCAAAGGCGUGUGGAUGUGGAAGUUCUGCCCCAUGAAAUGAAACGGCCUCUCACCUUUGCCCUACCUGAUAACUCCCGCUUCUCGAUGGUUGAUUUCCCAUUGCAUUUGCCUUUGGAGUUGCUAGGUGUGGAUGCCUGUCUACAGGUGCUCGCCUGUAUCCUGCUCGAGCACAAGGUUAUUCUCCAGUCUCGAGAUUACAAUGCUCUAUCCAUGAGUGUGAUGGCAUUUGUGGCCAUGAUCUACCCUUUGGAGUACAUGUUCCCUGUCAUCCCCCUAUUGCCAACAUGCAUGACCUCUGCUGAACAGCUCCUUCUUGCCCCUACUCCCUAUAUUAUUGGUGUACCAGCUAGUUUCUUCCUGUACAAAGCCAACUUCAAAAUUCCUGAUGAUGUAUGGCUUGUAGAUCUGGACAGCAGCAAGGUUAUAGCACCUACAAAUGCAGAGAGUCUGCCAUAUCUUCCAGAGCCAGAAGCUGGUGAGCUUAAGAAACAUCUGAAGCAGUGUCUGCUUAGGUUGACUGUGAUCACCCAAAAGCAGAUCUUCUCCUGUGAAAAUAAGGCCCUGGCGAGUAUGAGUUUAAACACCCAGCCCAUUUUGAACUUGGAGAAGUUUCAGGAAGGUCAUGAAAUGCCUCUGCUUCCUCCUGGACGUGAUAAAGCCUCUCCAUCAUCCACGGAGUUCAACCCCCUCAUUUACGGCAAUGAUGUUGAUUCUGUGGAUGUAGCCACCAGGGUGGCGAUGGUACGUUUCUUCAACUCCCAAAAUGUUCUCCAUGGUUUUCAAAUGCACACAAGGACUUUGCGCCUCUUCCCACGCCCCGUGGUGGCUUUCCAGUCAUCGUAUUUUCUUGCGUCUCGACCGAGACGCUCAAAUUUUGCCGAUAAGCUUUCCCACACACAAGCCGUGGAGUUCUAUGGAGAGUGGGCUCUCAAUCCGACUAACCUCGCGUUUCACAGGAUACAUAAUAAUGUGUUUGACCCGUCUUUAAUUGGUGACAAACCCAAGUGGUAUGCUCACCAGCUUCAGCCUGUGGUUUACAGAGUGUUUGAUGGAAGCUCACAGCUGGUUGAGGCUAUGGCAAGUCCAUUUGAGGAUGAAAGCAAUGACUCUGAUCCUACAGACAGCGGUAGUGACAGUGAGGCAUAUGAUGACUCAAGUUCAUCCUAUUCCUCACUUGGAGACCUUGUAAGUGAGAUGAUACAAGGAGAUAUUCAGGGCGACACACCAAGCCUCGAACCACACACCCAUGCUGCUCUGGGAGACGCAAGUGAGGUGGAGUUUCAAGACUUUCGGGACUUCAGAGACGGAAAUGGCCCAGGGAGUUCAUCAAGCGGGGACGGUCCUGCAGAUCAUUCUGAUGGACAGCCCCAUCGCUCAAGCUCCAGCACAACUGCAAGCUCCAGUCCCAGCACUAUCAUUCAGGGAGUUAACAAUGACCAAGGGGAAGCACCUGAUAGCGAGGCACCAGCGGCCUCCGCCCCACAGAACCCUGUCCCAGGAGUUGGUAGCCAGCCGUUUUUGAGACCUACAGCUGACGCUAGCCUGGGGGACUCCUCAAUACGAAAACGAGAGUAUGACAACCCCUAUUUUGAGCCCCAGUAUGGCUUCCCCUCUGAAGAUGAUCCUGAUGCAGAAGAACAAGUGGAGUCAUACACCCCUCGAUUCAACCAGAACCUCAAUGGCAACAAGGCUCAGCGUCCUUCACGUCCCAGUAGUCUGAGACUUCCUGGGGAGUCUGACGGAGAGGGAGAUUCUCACAACAGCUCACCAAACUCAACUAUUUCCAACAGCAGCAAUGAUGGAUUUGGAGGACUGAUGUCCUUUGCAAGUAAUCUUUACAAGAACCAUGGCACUAGUUUCAGUCUGUCCCAUCUUGCUCUACCCAACAAAGCUGCAAGAGAGAAAUCGACCCCUUUCCCCAGCCUCAAAGAAUAUUUGAGUUUUGAUAUUGAGGAGGAGAAGAACCAAGCAGAUACACCUGACAGCCCGGUAUUUGGGCUAAAUUCUCUAAUGGAGAUAAUAACAGAGGCCCGCCCAGGAAGCGGAGAAGGUGCCCGUGCACCUCGGGCACUUGUGGAUCAGAAGUCUUCUGUCAUCAAGCACAGCCCAACAGUGAAGAGGGAAUCACCAUCUCCUCAGAGUGGCAACAACACAAGUGAAAACCAGCAAUUCUUAAAGGAGGUUGUACAGAGUGUUCUAGAUGGACAAGGAGUCGGCUGGCUCAACAUGAAAAAAGUACGCCGCCUGUUGGAGAAUGAGCAGCUCCGCGUCUUUGUGCUAAGUAAACUGAAUAGAGCCACCCAGUCCGAGGAAGAUUCCAGACAGGAGAUCAUACGUGAUGUGGAGAUCAGCAGGAAGGUGUACAAGGGCAUGCUGGACAUCUUGAAGUGUACGGUGUCCAGUUUGGAACAUUCCUACACAAAUGAGGUUGUUGGAGGAAUGGCCAGUGUGUUCAUUGUAUUGGAGAUAGCACGCACACAUUAUCAAACCAAAGACCCGGAAAAGCGCAAGCGAAGCCCCACAGACAGUGCUGGUAGCCCAGGGAGUAAAGAGAGUCCUUCCGGUCGCAUGGAGGCUGCCAAACCUCAAGGUCUUCUCAACGUUCCUCAUCUGCAGCUACCUCAUCACGCUAUGGGCAGAGGGGCCCGCCAUUUUGAUACCCGGAGUCUGAAUGAAGAAAACUUUAUUGCCUCCAUUGAAUUGUGGAGCAAGCACCAGGAUAAGCAAAAAUCUAUGGAAAAACCACAGAGGGCUGAAGGGGCAAAGCAGCAGCGCCCUCAGGUGACUGAUGCAGAGGAGAAGAAAUCACAGAUCAGUGCUGAUAGUGGUUUCAGUGUCACAUCUGCUUCUCAGAAGAGCGACACAGAGUCCGUAACAAGUUCAGAACCUCCCAUCUUGACGAGAAGUACAAGCCAAGACUCAGAGGCGAGCACGGUGAUAAGUUUCAGCUCUGGAGAGACACUGGGUGCUGACAGUGACUUGAGCAGCACGGCGGGAGAUGGCCUGGGUGGGAGAAGCGCUCUGCAUUUAGCUCAGUCCAGAGGGACCCUCUCUGACAGUGAGAUUGAAACAAACCCUGCCACCAGCUCAGUCUUUGGAAAGACUCAUACACUGAAACCAGGGGCAAAAGAGCACGCAACUGCAAUUGCAAAGGGGAUGCCCACUCAGCCUAUGGAGGAUAUCAGCAUGAGGAUCUAUCUUUGCGAAGGCCUGCUUGGCCGUGAUAAGAGCUCCGUUUGGGAUCAACUAGAGGAUGCUGCCAUGGAAACCUUUUCGCUAAGUAAAGAGCGCUCAACGCUUUGGGACCAGGUGCAGUUCUGGGAGGAUGCCUUCUUAGAUGGUGUCAUGUUAGAGCGUGAAGGGAUGGGAUUGGACCAGCGACCCCAAGAGAUGAUUGAAAGGUACCUGUCAUUGGGAGAACAAGACCGCAAGCGCCUGGAGGACGAUGAGGACAAACUGCUGACUACUUUGCUGCACAACAUGGUUGCAUACAUGCUCAUGAUGAAAGUGAGCAAAAAUGACAUCAAGAAGAAAGUGAGACGUUUGAUGGGAAAGUCCCACAUUGGCCUCACCUACAGCCAAGAGAUCAAUGAGCUGCUGGACAAAUUGGCCCAAAUGAACGGCCGUGAGCUGUCUAUCAGGGCCUGUGGAAGUCGUCAUAUAAAGAAGCAAACGUUUGUUGUACAUGCUGGUACUGAUACAACCGGUGACCUUUUUUUCAUGGAGGUCUGUGACGACUGCAUAGUCCUGCGUAGCAACAUUGGCACAGUGUAUGAGCGCUGGUGGUACGAAAAGCUCAUCAACAUGACUUAUUGCCCCAAGACAAAGGUUUUAUGUCUCUGGAGACGCAACGGCCAAGAGACACAACUCAAUAAGUUCUAUACCAAAAAGUGUCGCGAACUCUACUACUGUGUUAAAGAUAGUAUGGAAAGAGCGGCAGCCAGACAGCAAAGCUCAAAACCAGGCCCAGAGUUGGGGGGAGAGUUCCCGGUCCAGGACAUGAAAACUGGCGAGGGGGGAUUGCUGCAAGUCACGCUGGAAGGAAUCAACCUGAAAUUCAUGCACAGUCAGGUUUUCAUAGAGCUGAGUCACAUAAAAAAGUGCAAUACAGUGAAGGGAGUCUUUGUCCUGGAGGAAUUUGUUCCUGAAACUAAAGAAGUGGUGAUCCACAAGUACAAGACCCCCAUGGCACAUCAGAUCUGUUACUCCGUCCUCUGUCUGUUCUCCUACGUGGCAGCUGUGAAGGGGAAGGAGGCGGACGGAAAAGCCAAGAUUCUCUCCCCAAGACCCCUUCCUAGCUAGUGCUCCUCCUCCCCUCCCCCACCUGUCCUAGUUCUAUGUGCCUCUACCCGAAGCGGCGUCACACAGCAGACAAUCCCUUGGCGACCCGGAAGCACACAAACGUACACCACGUCUGGUCCCCCGAGCCCCGGGAAAGGGGUCAUCUCUCCAAGCCCCUCGUCGAUUUGUCUUCAGUAACGAUGGAACCGAGUGCAUGCAGGUCCCAUGCACCCCGCCCACCCACACACACACACACACACACACCUGUUACCAUGGCAAUGUGCAUACAUUAGUGACAUCACUGGCCGACCUUUUUGUCCAACUACUGUUCUACUCCUAACCUUGUCUGUGCUCUGCUGUUUACCACGUCUUGCAUGUUACAUGUGUGUACAUAUAUAUAUAUAUAUAUAUCAUAUUUAUUUACAUUGUUGCUGUAUAUUUCAGACUAAAAAUAAUAUAACUAUGGAAUUGCUUAAAGCGCAAUACUGAGUAGUUCGCCAUUCCAGCAGCUUUCCGUCCUAUUUGGCGUUCACAGGGUCUAACAUCAGUUUUUGUUUUUCUUUUUAUUGCUCAACGUGAAUAUUAAUAUAAUAAUAAUAAGUGUGAUUUCUUCCAAGUGUGAAGACAAAACAAUGUUCCUCCGGUGACGUGUGUGCAUUUCAGGUGAUCGGGGAGUUUUUCUGUCUACUGUCCCCAAAGUGUCAUCCCUCAAGUCAAAUAUUGGUCACGUGACUUAAAGUUAAUUGGUUCCUGUAAAAAAUAUUAUUCAUCUGUGGAAAUGUGAACAUGAACGCCGGAAUCAUCUCCGCUCCAAUUCAGGCUUGUUGUGCUUCGAGUCAUGUUGUCAUCGUGUGUGAGGAGAAACAUGAAAUGCCAAGUGCAGCGACGAUACUCGUUACAAAUUGAUUGACAGAAAGCAGAACAGUAAUUUAUGCAUGACCGUGUCAAGGAAGCAAAAAGGCACAGGACUGACAAGCAGACAAUUGUCUUCCAGUCGUUCAUAAGUCACACAAUCAUGGAAGUGGCGAGCAGACAUUACAGAUGGUACGUACAUUACCUGGCUUUUGUUCCUCAUCUGAAGCAAAGCAAGUCUUAAUCAGCCCCGCCACAAUUUCUGUGGCCUUUUUGUAGUGAUUGCCGCCCAAAUUGCCUGAUUUCGUAGCAACUUUUUUUUCAGAAAGUUGUUGCCAAGUUUUGAAGCUGGUUUUCAUUUUCAGUAAUAUUCAAUCAACUUGUAAUUGUAAUUUUUUUUGCAUCAAUGUGUGAAAUGUUUUUUUUGUAACUUUAAGGCCAAAACGCACCGGAUAUCAACACCAAUUACAAAAAAAAUGUGUGUGUUGAUGUCAAAAGGAAACACUAGAUGGCAGUAAAAGAACUGAGCUCAUUGUUAAAAAGACUAAUCUUUUUAAUUCAUUAUAACCAAUAGUAAUUAUUAUUAUUACAACUAAAGAAAGAAACACGUUUUAAAUGAUCCGUCACAGACAUUCUCUUUGUGUGUUUUAUGCUUGAAAAUGUCCUAAACAUGUAUGUUACAACACAUUAAGAUAAUUUGUGAACGCUUUAGUGCAAUCUAGAGCAGUGGUUCUGAAAUGGGGGUACGUGUACCCCUGGGGGUACUUGAAGGUAUGCUAAGGGGUGCGUGAGAUUUUUUUUUUAAUCCUAAAAAUAGCAAAAAUUCAAAAAUCCUUUAUAACUAUAUUUAUUAAAUAAUACUUCAACAAAAUAUGUAUGUUAGUUCUUAAACUGUGAAAAGAAAUACAACAAUGCAAUACUCAGUGUUGACGGUUAGAUUUUUUUGUGGACAUGUUCCAUAAAUAUUGAUGUUAAAGAAUUAUUUUAUUGUGAUGAAAUGUUUGGAAUUAAGUUCAUGAAUCCAGAUGGAUGUCUAUUACAAUCCCCAAAGAGGGCACUUUAGGUUGACUUCUAUGUGUAGAAAUCUUUAUUUAUAAUUGAAUCACUUGUUUAUUUUUCAACAAGUUUAUCGUUGUCUUUUUUUCCGAAUAGUUCAAGAAAGACAACUACAAAUGAGCAAUAUUUAGCACUGUUAUCAGAAACUGAUGACAUAGUAUUUUACUUCUUUAUCUCUAUUUUUCAACCAAAAAUGCUUUGCUCUGAUUAGAGGGUACUUGAAUUAAAAAAAAUGUUCACAGGGGGUACAUCACUGAAAAAAGGUUGAGAACCACUGAUCUAGAGCGCUAAUUUUUGGUAAAAGCGAGACAAUGAGUUAUCAUCACACAUCAACAUCUCUAUUUUGCAAACACUGCCUUUGUUUGGUCAGCAUUACAAAGGAAAAUCUAAAUUGUUCUACCCUGGAUAAAUAAGAGUUAAAUAAAUAUAUAAAUACAUGUAAACAAGGUGUGUUGCUAAAUAUUUAUACACUACAUCACCCAAAAGGGCUCGCGCUAUAGAUAGGAAUCGGAAGUAUUGUGUAAGGUAGUGAUUGUCAAUCUGUGGUACCAGUAGUGGUACGCCAGAUAAUCCAAUAUUCACACACGCCGUUUCCGUUCAAACUUCGUGUAAUGUCACCGUGGCCAUAAAUAUUAAAUAUAGGAGUGUAAUAAAACCUCUGCCGUGUUUUUAAUGAGUACUUAGGCUUACUACGCUACUGUAUUUUAAUGUUGGCCAUUAUGGUGGUACUUGAAGAGCCAAGCUCCCCAAACCAGUAUUGAUCAUUUGUGUUUUAAAUACAGUUAUUAAGUUAACAUUUAAUCGUUUUGUUAUUACAUGUAAUUAUCGUGUUAUUAAUCAUAACUAUACCCCCCCAACUAUGUCAAAGAUCUCUCCAAACUUGUCCCAUUUGUUUGUGCUGAAGACCGUUUAGUUUGUACGGUUUUUACCUUAACAUGUUGUGGAUUUUCAAGUGUGAUGAUUCAUAACCAACCUUCAAACCAUGUAAACAUUUCCACAAACCAGUCCCAAUCGUUUUGUACUGCAAUACACUUUGCUCUAACUAUUAUAGUUUUUAAGUUAUUAAUGCAUUAAGAUUCAUGAAACAUUAUUCAUUUAAAAAAAAACAGCAGCAUUGACAAGCAUAAGCAAAAGGGAGAUUUGGCGCAGGUUGAUAUGUUGUUACAUGUUGUUGUUGUUCCUGCUUUGUCCACACAAUAAACUAUUCUACAUUUGGAUCAGAGACUUAGGUGGCAUAAAACGAUGCUGAUUGGCCAAAAUGUGCAAGGCAGUUCACCAAAUGGUGGAGGGACUGAUUCUGUGUACCGAAAAUUGCAAUACUGUGCAUACGUUAUUAUAGGGAAAUUACACUUUUUGGGGGAAUUUUGCCCAUCGUUCACAAUCUUUAUGAGAGACAAGGACACACAUUUGUUUCGUGUUUUUUUAGGAUUUUAAAGAU